UCAAGUUCUUCUGGGACUAAACAAAAGGACAAUGUGCCACAUCAGCAAUUUGCUUGAAAUUGUUGGGUUUAUUUUUGCAAUGCAAACAAGGUACACAUGUUUUCUUUUGUCAUUAGAUUUUCUUCGAAUUAUAUCAUUCAGUUGAGAGGAUCCUUCAAAACUCCUUCUUAGUAUAAAAGCUAUUUUUAUCAGCCUAGCUUCCUGUCUUCCUCUUAGCUUCUCCAUUUGGUGUUUUAAGAAGAAAGUAGAGGUCUAAACCGAACAGCUCAUGCAUCUUUAGUCGGGAGAUGUUGUCACCCAGAGUCCCACAAACUGCUGAAGGUCAGUCUCUAAAAGGAGCAUGUAAGUCCCUGGACAGCAGAGAAAGAGGUUAAAAUUUCUGUCCCUCCUGUCAGUAAAGUGGCAAGUUUGUAAAUGUUUGAUUUAACAACAAAAGAAAACAACCUGUUCACAGGCAUUUUAAUUCAACCCUGAGUCACAGAGUAAACACACUGCAAGAAUAUAUAUACAGUUUGCAUCAAAUAAGCUGUAUCAGCAUUGUGGUUUGGAAGACCUACUCCUGCCAGAUGGAAGUCAGCCAUGAAUAUGAAGGUAUGGGUUUCCAGGAAACAGGACAAAGACUACACAGAUGCUAGCAUCCUGCUGCUAACGAGGGCAUGGAGCAAGAGCUGAAGAUUAAUCUGAGAGGCAAUGAAGAGAAAUACACACAGUAUAAAAGAGUUGCAUGCCAAGGAUUUCAACACUGAACUGACAUGUAUAUUAGGAGGACACCGCCCUUCCAGCCAGAAAAAUUCUCCAAGGUUAACAAGGACCUGAGAGAGAGAGAGAGACAAGAGGCCAUACCAAGCUACAUCAGGAGGUCAACAUUCACAGGGAAAUACAGCAAUGUCCUUCCCAGCUGAACACAUGACAGUCAACCCCAGAUCAGGGUCUACACAGUGACUUUGGCCUCAGUUCCUGGAUUCUCUGUAUCUCCUCAAACUAUCUGGAGAUUUUAAACAUCAUGCAUUAAGGUAAUGGAAGGACUGAAUAUAAAAAUGUGCACCCAAAAGGAAUAGGACAAGACAAAUUGGUCCCAGGAAUAACAGCAGAUGCUUUCCAAAGUCUACUGCACAGAAAUAUCCACUCGAAUCCACUGCAUCUUUACUAAUCUAAAAAUGACAAGGUCAGACAUGUAAGUGAUUCAAGACCUCUCCUUGCCUGUCCUUUACAAGGAAUGGUUACAUCAGUUGCAGCCCCCCAAAACAACAGAUUAAAUCCAGACCAACUGGUUGGUAAAAUUGGCUAAAAGAAAAGAAAAAAGCUACUGGAGGAAGACGAAAAGCAAGCAGUUUGCUGAUGCAUCAGACAGAAUCUGCAAAGGAGGUAAAUACCUACCU